AGGUCCAUCCUAAUCCCUGCUGGCUCCCAGUAGCCUGGAGGGUUCGCUUGUGGACCAGAGCACCCUGGAUGCUCUCCCAGGGAGACAGGGCUGCUGUGUUCUGUCUUGGGGAGAACACCUAGACAUUG